rnacentral:rRNA from 1 species
AGCGAACGCUGGCGGCAGGCCUAAAACAUGCAAGUCGAACGCCCGUAGCAAUACGGGAGUGGCAGACGGGUGAGUAACACGUGGGAACGUGCCCUUUGGUUCGGAACAACACAGGGAAACUUGUGCUAAUACCGGAUAAGCCCUUACGGGGAAAGAUUUAUCGCCAGAGGAUCGGCCCGCGUCUGAUUAGCUAGUUGGUGAGGUAACGGCUCACCAAGGCUACGAUCAGUAGCUGGUCUGAGAGGAUGAUCAGCCACACUGGCACUGCGACACGGGCCAGACUCCUACGGGAGGCAGCAGUAAGGAAUAUUGCGCAAUGGGCGAAAGCCUGACGCAGCGACGCCGCGUGGGGGAUGAAGGUC